rnacentral:rRNA from 1 species
UACAGAGGUCCCAAGCGUUGUUCGGAUUCACUGGGCGUAAAGGGUGCGUAGGUGGUUUGUUAAGUCUGUUGUGAAGGCCCCGGGCUCAACCUGGGAAUGGCAAUGGAUACUGGCAAGCUAGAGUGCGGUAGAGGGUAGUGGAAUUCCCGGUGUAGCGGUGAAAUGCGUAGAGAUCGGGAGGAACACCAGUGGCGAAGGCGGCUACCUGGACCAGCACUGACACUGAGGCACGAAAGCGUGGGGAGCAAACAGG